AAAAAACCCUUACCCUAGAUCUGUGCCCUCCUUUCCUUAGCACAACACUUAAAAAAAAAGCACCAUCACUCUCCUAACACUUCGUCCGAACAUAGUUCAGAGGAACUCUCACUCUCAUUUCUCUUGUUCUAAUCGCGAUGACUAUGACCGCCCAAGCCUCCGACCGUCGUCUCCCAUGUCCAGUCGAAUUGAAUCUGCCGGGUGGAAGAUGAUGUUUGGGUUACAGAGAAAGCCACAGCCAAUAACACUCUUAGAUAUCGCUAAUGAUGUACAACUUUAUUUCAGAGCGUAAGGUACAAAGCUGCUAAGGCUGAUCCCCUGUGCUAUGAGCUGCGUGCUAGCCAAGAGUUUCUACAACACAAGGCUGACCAGCUAGCCAAGAGUUUCUACAACACAAGGCUGACCAGCAGCGUGGUUAUGAUUAUAGUAGUCCUAGCUACUCGUUGGAUGACUUAACGAGGGUUCAACGGCAAGCAUGGUUUCGUGAAUUGCGACAAUCCCCGAAGAUGAAGAUGAAGACGAGACACAAGAGUAAUGCAUUUCGGUUUCUUUUCAAACUUAAACAUUUUUAUAAUUUUUAGGUUGUUUGUUGUAUCAACACUUUGUUUGUAUUACAUUGAUGUUUCUAUUUAUAAUUAUCUGUUUUUUUUUUCAUA